AGAAGCAGGUAGACCCUAACCGACGAAGGGGGGGCGCGUUACCACCGGAAGGUGGUCAAUGACUGGGGUG
rnacentral:rRNA from 1 species